UUUAAAUGUAAAUUCUUGAACUAAAUUAGUAAUAGAUAUGAUCUUCAAAUUUAAAGAUUUUGGCGGUAUUUUAGUCUAUUCAGAGGAACCUGUUCUGUAAUUGAUAGUCCACGAUUAACUUUACUUAAUUUUAAAAAUUUGUAUAUCGUUGUUUAUAGAAAAUUUUAUAAGAAAAAUAAUUUUUAAUAAAUUUAAUUAAAUUAUAAAUCAAAUCAAGGUGCAGUUUAUAGUUAAGGUAGAAAUGGGUUACAAUAAAUUUAUUUAUUAAUGGAUAUAAAUUUUAAAAUUUUAUUAAAGGUGGAUUUGAUAGUAAUAUUGUUUAAUUAAAUAAUAUGAUUAUAGCUCUAAAAUAUGU
rnacentral:rRNA from 1 species